UACGUAGGGUCCGAGCGUUGUCCGGAAUUACUGGGCGUAAAGAGCUCGUAGGCGGUUUGUCGCGUUGUUCGUGAAAACUCACAGCUCAACUGUGGGCGUGCGGGCGAUACGGGCAGACUGGAGUACUGCAGGGGAGACUGGAAUUCCUGGUGUAGCGGUGGAAUGCGCAGAUAUCAGGAGGAACACCGGUGGCGAAGGCGGGUCUCUGGGCAGUAACUGACGCUGAGGAGCGAAAGUGUGGGGAGCGAACAGG
rnacentral:rRNA from 1 species